AGGAUUAUAAUUUAAAUAAAAUAUUUGAAUUGCAAUCAAAAAUUACUAUUACUAGUUAAUCUUA
rnacentral:tRNA from 2 species